CCUACGGGUGGCAGCAGUGGGGAAUAUUGCACAAUGGGGGAAACCCUGAUGCAGCGACGCCGCGUGAGUGAAGAAGUAAUUCGUUAUGUAAAGCUCUAUCAGCAGGGAAGAAAAUGACGGUACCUGAGUAAGAAGCCCCUGCUAACUACGUGCCAGCAGCCGCGGUAAUACUUAGGGGGCAAGCGUUAUCCGGAUUGCCUGGGUGGAAAGGGAGCGUAGACGGCAGUGCAAGUCUGGAGGGAAAGGCGGGGGCGCAACCCCCGGACUGCUCUGGAAACUGGACGGCUGGAGUGCAGGAGAGGUAAGUGGAAUUCCUAGUGUAGCGGUGAAAUGCGUAGAUAUUAGGAGGAACACCAGUGGCGAAGGCGGCUUACUGGACUGUAACUGACGUUGAGGCUCGAAAGCGUGGGGAGCAAACAGGAUUAGAUACCCGUGUAGUC
rnacentral:rRNA from 1 species